AUUGAACGCUGGCGGCAUGCCUUACACAUGCAAGUCGAACGGCAGCAUGGAGAGCUUGCUCUCUGAUGGCGAGUGGCGAACGGGUGAGUAAUGCAUCGGAACGUACCGUGUAAUGGGGGAUAACGUAGCGAAAGUUACGCUAAUACCGCAUACGACCUGAGGGUGAAAGCAGGGGAUCGCAAGACCUUGCGUUAUACGAGCGGCCGAUGUCAGAUUAGCGAGUUGGUGAGGUAAAGGCUCACCAAGGCGACGAUCCGUAGCGGGUCUGAGGGGAUGAUCCGCCACACGGGGACUGAGACACGGCCCAGACUCCUACGGGAGGCAGCAGUGGGGAAUUUUGGACAAUGGGGGCAACCCUGAUCCAGCCAUGCCGCGUGAGUGAAGAAGGCCUUCGGGUUGUAAAGCUCUUUCGGCCGGGAAGAAAUCGCACAGGCUAAUACUCUAUGUGGAUGACGGUACCGGCAUAAGAAGCACCGGCUAACUACGUGCCAGCCGCCGCCGUAA
rnacentral:rRNA from 1 species